rnacentral:rRNA from 1 species
GUCCACGCUGUAAACGAUGAACACUAGGUAUUGGGGGAUUUGACCCCUUCAGUGCCGCAGCUAACGCGUUAAGUGUUCCGCCUGGGAAGUACGGUCGCAAGACUAAAAACUCAAAGGAAUUGACGGGGGCCCGCACAAGCGGUGGAUUAUGUGGUUUUAAUUCGAAGCAACGCGCAGAACCUUACCUAGGCUUGAAAUCCCAUGAAUCCCUUUUAAACGAGGGAGUGCUCUUCGGAGAAUAUGGUGACAGGCGCUGCAUGGCUGUCGU